rnacentral:lncRNA from 1 species
AUCAAUAGUACGAAAUUCUAACAGAUCCAAAUUCAAAUCCCAAUCCGAUCCAGUCUCAUCUCUCCUUUGCAUUCACUCACCAUUCCCCAAUGGGUUUCCCAGCCAACGGCUCCGACGCCGGCUCCAAGCCGCUCAAGUUUCUCAUCUACGGCCGCACUGGCUGGAUUGGGGGCUUGCUCGGCAAGCUCUGCCAAGCUCAGUCCAUUGACUUCACCUACGGCUCCGGCCGCCUCGAGAACCGCGCCUCCCUCGAAGCCGACAUCGCCGCCGUCAAGCCCA